GAGGGUCAGUGGUAGAGUAUCUGCUUGGAAUGCAAAAGGUCCCAGGUUCGAUCCCUGGCAUCUCCA
rnacentral:tRNA from 1 species